CCUACGGGAGGCAGCAGUGAGGAAUAUUGGUCAAUGGACGAGAGUCUGAACCAGCCACGCAGCGUGAAGGAUGACUGCCCUCUGGGUUGUAAACUUCUUUUAUAUGGGAAUAAAAUGUUCCACGUGUGGGAUUUUGUAUGUACCAUAUGAAUAAGGAUCGGCUAACUCCGUGCCAGCAGCCGCGGUAAUACGGAGGAUCCGAGCGUUAUCCGGAUUUAUUGGGUUUAAAGGGAGCGUAGGUGGAUUGUUAAGUCAGUUGUGAAAGUUGGCGGCUCAACCGUAAAAUUGCAGUUGAAACUGGCAGUCUUGAGUACAGGAGAGGUGGGCGGAAUUCGUGGUGUAGCGGUGAAAUGCUUAGAUAUCACGAAGAACUCCGAUUGCGAAGGCAGUUCACUGGACUGCAACUGACACUGAGGCUCGAAAGUGUGGGUAUCAAACAGGAUUAGAUACCCCUGUAGUC
rnacentral:rRNA from 1 species